rnacentral:misc_RNA from 1 species
GAUGAAGAACGUAGCGAAACGCGAUAUGUAAUGUGAAUUGCAGAAUUCAGUGAAUCAUCGAAUCUUUGAACGCACAUGGCGCCUUCCAGUAUCCUGGGAGGCAUGCCUGUCCGAGCGUCGUUUCAACCCUCGAGCCCCCGUGGCCCGGCGUUGGGGAUCUGCCACGGCAGGCCCCUAAAACCAGUGGCGGACCCGAAGGCCCUCUCCUUUGCGCAGUAGCAUCAGCGUCGCAUUGGGAUCCCUCGGCGUCCUGCCUCUAAACCCCCCACAAGUCCGCUCCGGCGGCACCAAGGUUGACCUCGGAUCAGGUAGGAAUACCCGCUGAACUUAAGCAUAUCAAUAAGCGGAGGA